UUGACGGGGGCCCGCACAAGCGGUGGAGCAUGUGGUUUAAUUCGACGCAACGCGAGAACCUUACCAGGGCUUGACAUCCCCUGACCGCGUAUGAAAGUACGUUUUCACCCUCGGGUGACAGGGAGACAGGUGGUGCAUGGUUGUCGUCAGCUCGUGUCGUGAGAUGUUGGGUUAAGUCCCGCAACGAGCGCAACCCCUACGUUAGUUGCUAACGCGUGAAGGCGAGCACUCUAGACGAACUGCCGUUGACAAAACGGAGGAAGGUGGGAUGACGUCAAAUCAUCAUGCCCCUUAUGUUCUGGGCUACACACGUGCUACAAUGGCCGGUACAGACGGACGCAAAGCCGCGAGGUGGAGCAAAUCCUAAAAAGCCGGUCUCAGUUCGGAUUGCAGGCUGCAAUUCGCCUGCAUGAAGUCGGAAUCGCUAGUAAUCGCAGGUCAGCAUACUGCGGUGAAUACGUUCCCGGGCCUU
rnacentral:rRNA from 1 species